rnacentral:rRNA from 1 species
GGUUAAGCGACUAAGCGUACACGGUGGAUGCCCUGGCAGUCAGAGGCGAUGAAGGACGUGCUAAUCUGCGAUAAGCGUCGGUAAGGUGAUAUGAACCGUUAUAACCGGCGAUUUCCGAAUGGGGAAACCCAGUGUGAUUCGUCACACUAUCAUUAACUGAAUCCAUAGGUUAAUGAGGCGAACCGGGGGAACUGAAACAUCUAAGUACCCCGAGGAAAAGAAAUCAACCGAGAUUCCCCCAGUAGCGGCGAGCGAACGGGGAGGAGCCCAGAGCCUGAAUCAGUGUGUGUGUUAGUGGAAGCGUCUGGAAAGGCGCGCGAUACAGGGUGACAGCCCCGUACACAAAAAUGCACAUGCUGUGAGCUCGAUGAGUAGGGCGGGACACGUGGUAUCCUGUCUGAAUAUGGGGGGACCAUCCUCCAAGGCUAAAUACUCCUGACUGACCGAUAGUGAACCAGUACCGUGAGGGAAAGGCGAAAAGAACCCCGGCGAGGGGAGUGAAAAAGAACCUGAAACCGUGUACGUACAAGCAGUGGGAGCCUCUUUAUGGGGUGACUGCGUACCUUUUGUAUAAUGGGUCAGCGACUUAUAUUCUGUAGCAAGGUUAACCGAAUAGGGGAGCCGAAGGGAAACCGAGUCUUAACUGGGCGUUAAGUUGCAGGGUAUAGACCCGAAACCCGGUGAUCUAGCCAUGGGCAGGUUGAAGGUUGGGUAACACUAACUGGAGGACCGAACCGACUAAUGUUGAAAAAUUAGCGGAUGACUUGUGGCUGGGGGUGAAAGGCCAAUCAAACCGGGAGAUAGCUGGUUCUCCCCGAAAGCUAUUUAGGUAGCGCCUCGUGAAUUCAUCUCCGGGGGUAGAGCACUGUUUCGGCAAGGGGGUCAUCCCGACUUACCAACCCGAUGCAAACUGCGAAUACCGGAGAAUGUUAUCACGGGAGACACACGGCGGGUGCUAACGUCCGUCGUGAAGAGGGAAACAACCCAGACCGCCAGCUAAGGUCCCAAAGUCAUGGUUAAGUGGGAAACGAUGUGGGAAGGCCCAGACAGCCAGGAUGUUGGCUUAGAAGCAGCCAUCAUUUAAAGAAAGCGUAAUAGCUCACUGGUCGAGUCGGCCUGCGCGGAAGAUGUAACGGGGCUAAACCAUGCACCGAAGCUGCGGCAGCGACACU